UAUCUUUUUAUUCAUUUUGAUAACAAGUAUUUCCAAUACACGAAUUCUACUUGUGGUAGAAGACGAAAACAAGUCAAGAUGAGCCGGAGAUAGUUAGCCAAAUCUGCAAGGAAAAAUGGACGGUAAGGAAGGAGCCACAUCAUACGAGCACGUACCACCACUCUCCUUGCUUUAAAACUAGUUCUAAUUUGGCGAGGCAUAAUCAGCAUAAUCAUUACCAUACAUCCAGGGGCUCCAUCUACUAACUUUACCCCAAAAGCCAUGGACAGGAUGCGGUGCAAAGAUUGAGCCAUGUGAUAUGUGUGCAGCAAAGAGGGGAAAAGGACAAUUCCGGAAGGAGGCCAACCACAAGCAGCGACACCAGGCCUACCACUACCAUACAUGAGAAUGGCAAGUUUGGAGCUGAAAUCAUGCCAUCAAUCAUCUCAUAUCAUACUAUCAUGCUUGCAUAACAGAUCGGGUGAAGAAGCAAAUGCUAGCACAAGUACAUACGCUCACCAUAUCACAUGCCCGCUUGAAGGUUCCGAUUCAAUCGCAUCACUCAACAACAAUAGGGACGAUAAUCGUCAGGAAAGAAAGAAAAACCUCAAUUUGUCCUAGUAGCAAAAAUCUGGCGGCGCGUUGGCCGCCAAUCGCCGAAUUAAUAGGGUAGCAGCCAGCCUCUCCCCGCGAAUCGCACGAAGAAGACGACUGGAAAGAAUCCCCGGGGGAAUUU
rnacentral:lncRNA from 1 species